UGGGGAAUAUUGCACAAUGGGCGCAAGCCUGAUGCAGCGACGCCGCGUGGGGGAUGACGGCCUUCGGGUUGUAAACCUCUUUCACCAUCGACGAAGCCCUUCGGGGUGACGGUAGGUGGAGAAGAAGCACCGGCCAACUACGUGCCAGCAGCCGCGGUAAUACGUAGGGUGCGAGCGUUGUCCGGAAUUACUGGGCGUAAAGAGCUCGUAGGUGGUUUGUCGCGUUGUUCGUGAAAUGCCACAGCUUAACUGUGGGCGUGCGGGCGAUACGGGCAGACUGGAGUACUGCAGGGGAGACUGGAAUUCCUGGUGUAGCGGUGGAAUGCGCAGAUAUCAGGAGGAACACCGGUGGCGAAGGCGGGUCUCUGGGCAGUAACUGACGCUGAGGAGCGAAAGCGUGGGGAGCGAACAGGAUUAGAUACCCCCGUAGUCC
rnacentral:rRNA from 1 species